GAUAAUUUAUUUCAAUACAAUUUAUUAAUCCUGAAACAAAUUAUCCUACUUCAUCUAGCUAAACAAGGAAUUAAAAUACACUAAAAUGAUAACUUUCUCUUUGCAUCACACCAAACGACCCUAUACAAUAAAAAAUUCUCUUUAUCUAAGAGAGGAGCAUAAAACCAACACCUGCCCGCAAUUUUUGUUUCAUCUGAAAGCAAGAUAACACGGAGAGUAUUCGGUUUAUUGUGAAGAAGAGUUGGUGGAAGCAAUUGAAACAGCAAAUGGAGCAAAGAAAGACUGUUUGUGUUUCAUUGAAGUGAUUGUCCACAAAGAUGACACUAGCAAAGAGCUACUUAAAUGGGGUUCUAGGGUCUCAGCAGCUAAUAGUCGUCCACCAAAGAAUAUUGAAUUUGCUGCAAUGAAUUCUUGCAAUUUGAGAGUUGCCACUAUAUGUUGUAAUGUUUUCUUGUGAUUUUUCCCUGGAAGGGUUUGUAUUCCACUAAGUAUUGCUUUUGUUAACUUGUUCAUCCAUUAAUGCCUUUUCCUUUGAAA